CAAACGGGGCGCGUGACAGAAGUCUGGCUGAGAGAGAACCCGUUGAACCUGAUCCGGCUAAUACCGGCGGAGGAAUUUGGAU
rnacentral:ncRNA from 1 species